rnacentral:rRNA from 1 species
AUUGAACGCUGGCGGCAGGCCUAACACAUGCAAGUCGAGAGCGAGGCGGACGGGGGAGGAAUGUAUGGGGACUGCCCGAUAGAGGGGGAUAAGUACUGGAGACGGUAGCUAGAACAGCAUACUAGCGGAUAACCCCUAUGGGCGUAGCUAGUCGGUGAGUUAAUGUCUAACCUAGGCGACGAUCCCUAGCUGGGCUGAUAGGAUGAUAAGCCACACUGGGACGGAGCCACGGCCCAGACUCCUACGGAGGCAGCAGUGGGGAAUAUUGCACAAUGGGCGCAAGCCUGAGGCAGCCAUGCCGCGUGUAUGAAGAAGGCCCUAGGGUUGUAAAGUACUUUCAGUCGGGAGGCGUUACCGACAGAAGAAGCACCGGCUAACUCCGUGCCAGCAGCCGCGGUAAUUC